rnacentral:rRNA from 1 species
GACAGAGGGGCAAGCGUUGCUCGGAAUUACUGGGCGUAAAGAGCGCGCAGGCGGUUCGUUCAAGUCGCGUGUGAAAGCCCCCGGCUCAACUGGGGAGGGUCACGCGAUACUGAUCGACUGGAAGGCAGGAGAGGGUAGUGGAAUUCCCGGUGUAGUGGUGAAAUGCGUAGAUAUCGGGAGGAACACCAGUGGCGAAGGCGGCUCGCUGGACCGGUUCUGGACGCUGAGGCGCGAAAGCGUGGGGAGCAAACGGGG